AACAAACGCUGGCGGCGUGCCUAAUACAUGCAAGUCGAACGGGGACAGCUUUCGGGUGUGUCCUUGUGGCGCGCGGGUGAGGGACGCGUGGGUAAUCUGCCGUAAAGUGGGGGUUAACGAGUCGAAAGGUUAGCUAAUACCGCAUAAUACCACGAGAGCUGCGGCGUUUGAGGCAAAAGGUUUUUCGCUCUUCGAUGAGUCCGCGUAAGAGUAGCUAGUUGGGGAGGUAGCGGGUCACCAAGCCGACGAGCUGUAACUCAUUGGAGAGGAUGAUCAGUCCCAACGGCACCGAGACACGGCACAGACGCCUACGGGAGGCAGGAGGAGAGCAUGUUGCACCAAGGCGGAGUCGCUGAUGCAGCGCUGCCGCGUGAGAGAUCAAGGUGUUCGGGUAGAAAAGCUCUGUCUCAGGGGAAUAACACAAUGACGGUACCCUGUAAGAAAGGACCGGCUAACUUCGUG
rnacentral:rRNA from 1 species